GAGGAAUAUUGGUCAAUGGGCGGCAGCCUGAACCAGCCAAGUAGCGUGAGGGAUGACGGCCCUACGGGUUGUAAACCUCUUUUAUGCGGGGAUAAAGUGCGGGACGUGUCCCGCUUUGCAGGUACCGCAUGAAUAAGGACCGGCUAAUUCCGUGCCAGCAGCCGCGGUAAUACGGAAGGUCCGGGCGUUACCCGGAUUUAUUGGGUUUAAAGGGAGCGCAGGCCGCCUCUUAAGCGUGCUGUGAAAUCCCCCGGCUCAACCGGGGGUGUGCAGCGCGAACUGGGGGGCUUGAGUGCGCACAGGGCAGGCGGAAUUCGUGGUGUAGCGGUGAAAUGCUUAGAUAUCACGAGGAACUCCGAUCGCGAAGGCAGCCUGCCGGGGCGCUACUGACGCUGAGGCUCGAAGGUGCGGGUAUCGAAC
rnacentral:rRNA from 1 species